UACGGAGGAUGCGAGCGUUAUCCGGAUUUAUUGGGUUUAAAGGGUGCGCAGGCGGGCUUUUAAGUCAGCGGUCAAAUCUAUCGGCUCAACCGAUAGCCGCCGUUGAAACUGAUAGUCUUGAGUAUAUAUGAAGUAGGCGGAAUUCGUUGUGUAGCGGUGAAAUGCAUAGAUAUAACGAGGAACUCCAAUUGCGUAGGCAGCUUACUAAUCUAUAACUGACGCUCAUGCACGAAAGUGUGGGUAUCCAACAGG
rnacentral:misc_RNA from 1 species